rnacentral:rRNA from 1 species
ACGGAAGGCAGCAGUGGGGAAUUUUGCGCAAUGGGGGGAACCCUGACGCAGCAACGCCGCGUGCGGGAUGAAGGCCUUCGGGUUGUAAACCGCUUUCAGCAGGGAUGAUGAUGACAGUACCUGCAGAAGAAGCUCCGGCUAACUACGUGCCAGCAGCCGCGGUAAUACGUAGGGAGCGAGCGUUAUCCGGAUUCAUUGGGCGUAAAGCGCGCGUAGGCGGCGCCGUAAGCGGAAUCUCUAAUCUGAGGGCUCAACCCCCAGCCGGAUUCCGAACUGCGGCGCUCGAGUGCGGUAGGGGUAAGCGGAAUUCCCGGUGUAGCGGUGAAAUGCGCAGAUAUCGGGAAGAACACCGAUGGCGAAGGCAGCUUACUGGGCCGUCACUGACGCUGAGGUGCGAAAGCGUGGGGAGCGAACAGGAUUAGAUACCCUGGUA